CCGACGGGGGGCAGCAGGGAGGAAGAGUGGUCAAUGGGCGCGAGCCUGAACCAGCCAAGUAGCGUGAAGGAUGACUGCCCUACGGGUUGUAAACUUCUUUUAUAAAGGAAUAAAGUGAGGCACGUGUGCCUUUUUGUAUGUACCUUAUGAAUAAGGAUCGGCUAACUCCGUGCCAGCAGCCGCGGUAAUACGGAGGAUCCGAGCGUUAUCCGGAUUUAUUGGGUUUAAAGGGAGCGUAGAUGGGUUGUUAAGUCAGUUGUGAAAGUUUGCGGCUCAACCGUAAAAUUGCAAUUGAUACUGGCAGCCUUGAGUACAGUUGAGGUAGGCGGAAUUCGUGGUGUAGCGGUGAAAUGCUUAGAUAUCACGAAGAACUCCGAUUGCGAAGGCAGCCUACUAGACUGCAACUGACAUUGAUGCUCGAAAGUGUGGGUAUCAAACAGGAUUAGAUACCCGGGUAGUC
rnacentral:rRNA from 1 species